AAUCUAUAAAUUAAAAAUUAAAGAGCUUACAUUAAUUAUUCAGUGGAUACAUGACAAAUGCUAAAAUGAUGAUAUCAUAUGAAAAAAAUUGGCCAACUUUCAUAUAUAUGAUUGUCGUUAUCAUUCAUCACUUCUCUUUUCGCUACUCGUAUAUAAUACGUAAAUAUGUGUGUACAU
rnacentral:sRNA from 1 species